rnacentral:rRNA from 1 species
GUAUCCUACGGGACGCAGCAGUGGGGAAUAUUGCACAAUGGGGGGAACCCUGAUGCAGCGACGCCGCGUGAGUGAAGAAGUAUUUCGGUAUGUAAAGCUCUGUCAGCAGGGAAGAAGAAAGACGGUACCUGACCAAGAAGCCCCGGCUAACUACGUGCCAGCAGCCGCGGUAAUACGUAGGGAGCGAGCGUUGUCCGGAUUUACUGGGUGUAAAGGGUGCGCAGGCGGCUCUGCAAGUCAGGCGUGAAAGCUAGGGGCUCAACCCCUAAAUUGCGCUUGAAACUGUGGAGCUUGAGUGAAGUAGA